rnacentral:ncRNA from 1 species
CUCUUAUCAAGAGAAGGCGGAGGGAAUUGGCCCUAUGAAGCCCGGCAACCGGUGCAUUUGCACACGGUGCUAAUUCCAACAGCGAGAUGCUGAGGGAUAAGGG